rnacentral:piRNA from 1 species
UUAUUGAUGCCUCUCAAGCCC